GAUGAAGAACGUAGCGAAAUGCGAUAAGUAAUGUGAAUUGCAGAAUUCUGUGAAUCAUCGAAUCUUUGAACGCACCUUGCGCUCCUUGGUAUUCUGAGGAGCAUGCCUGUUUGAGUGUCAUUUAAUUCUCAAACUUUACCUAGUUUGCAAAAACUAGAUCAGGUUUGGAGUCUGGAAGUUGCUGGCUUUUUUUUUAAGCUAGCUCUUCUAAAAUAUAUUAGCAGAAUUAUUGCUACUCAAUAUGGUAUGAUAAUUAUCUAUACCGUUGAAAGUAAGCUUUCUGAUUUUGCUUCUAAUUGUCUACCAAGACAACCUUGAUACCUUUGACCUCAAAUCAGGUAGGACUACCCGCUGAACUUAAGCAUAUCAAUAAGCGGAGGA
rnacentral:misc_RNA from 1 species